GAUGAAGAACGUAGCGAAAUGCGAUAAGUAGUGUGAAUUGCAGAAUUCCGUGAAUCAUCGAAUCUUUGAACGCACAUUGCGCCUUCUGGUAUUCCGGAAGGCAUGCCUGUUCGAGAGUCAUUAACAACCGUUUCGAUCCCUUUCUUUCAGAAAUUACAAAGAGGAAAAGGGUUUGGUUAUGGUGGAGGAGGGAAAGGGAGCGUUUAGCCUGUAAAAAAAGAGGCUGUGUUCCGCCUCCCCCCCAAAAUUGUACAGGCGGUCGUGUGCGCCCACGCAUCGAGGUGUUGUAAAAGCUGCCACGACACUUUUCACCUGUGCAGUGCGAGAUUGGCCAGCCGGUUUAAAAACCCCUCCAAACAAUCAAAGGUUGACCUCGGAUCAGGUAGGGAUACCCGCUGAACUUAAGCAUAUCAAUAAGCGGAGGA
rnacentral:misc_RNA from 1 species